CAACCCAUACAGCGAUGUAUGGCUGAACAUCCAGAAGUCAGCAGAGGCCAUAGUACCGCGAAGUGGAAGGGCCACCUCGAGAGGGCAUACGAACGGAGCGGGAAGGGC
rfam:Termite gut metagenome tgut2b_Contig34668, whole genome shotgun sequence.